AAGGUUGUAUAUAAUUAUUCUGUUUAGUUGUGAUCCGUUACCCUGCAGCCGAAACCACCGUCAUUUAUAAACAAAUGGCGUAAUCUUCAAUUGCAUUGCUGAAUUAACUCUUCACUACGGGCAUGGCUAUCAAAAUUAUUUAAGGACAACUGACAACCACUUCCUCUAAAGUUUUGUUUUGUUUUGUUUAAAUUCAACCGUCGCAGCUUUCCUUUCAAUGGCACUCAAUUUUUCUAACUCGUAAUUUUUUUUUUUAUUUUUUCAUGUUUGUUGAUACUACUUAGCUCUUGGUCACGAACCAUGCAUUCUGUGAAACCUUUUUUACAUUUGUUCUCGCUUAAGUACUAUUUUUUAAGAGACCACCUUUUCUAGUUUUAUGUUAUAAGUAAGUGCGUGGGUAAGAAUUUACAUAAGUAGGAGGUACGUUUAAGUUUGCUGCUCUCAGAAAGUCUCUUUUUUACAAAACACUUCUUCAACUUGCAUCAAUGUCUAACUUUUCAAUCAAAUAAAUUCCAACUAAGGAUGCAUUUUCAGUUCAACUUUUGUAUUUAAACAUCUUGGAGGCUGAUAGUGAGCUGAUCAGAGAAUGGUCUCCUUACUUAGAUUGAAGAGACAGAAGAGUAAAUCUUAAAGUGGUAUCAAUUUUCCCUCCAUUUAAUCUAAGAAAAUAAACAUUUUACUGUAGAGGAGUUACUCUUAGCUCCUUCAAUUCUAUAACAUGUGUCAUUUGAUAAAACCUCCUACGAAAAAUAAUUGCCCUUCGACUCCUAAGCUCAGAUUUCCUAAGACUUCAUUACUUUUUUCUCACCAAGUUUGCUAUGGAGCUUUUGUGUAAACUUUUUUUUUCAUUUGAUGUUUGCAUAAAUGUAUGUGCGAUAUUGUAUGUCUUUCUCAGCUUAUUGUUUAUUUUUUAAAAACAAGGAAAAGCAAAGGACGCCAGUUUUUACUUACAACUUCUAUUUUCUAAUGAUGAAGUCCUUUUAUUAUUUCACCAAAUUUUUGAAGUAGAAAUUUUUGUUCAGGAACAGCAUUUUAUCUAAAAAUUUAAUUAAAUAUAAAUGGAUGUAUGAUCAUAGUGUAUAUGUCAUGCUUGAAAGAUGCAUUUAAAUUUGAGCUUUGCUCAAUUUAGUAGACUAAAAGAGCAAAAUGUUUUUACCGUACCUUAGCCUUUUUAUCAAAGUUGUUAAUUUUAUUUUUACAAUAGUCUGAUGCAAAUGUGUGAAUAUUAAUGUGUAACCUAUUGAAAAUCAUUUAACUCUAACUUCAUCACUUAUUCUCAGGUUUUUCCAAAUUUCCGUACCUCAUUGUUUUUUCUGAAACUUUCUUCGUCUUUUUUUUUCCAUGAAUUCUUUUAGAAGUUGUCUAUUUUCAAACUAGAGAGGAUCACCACCCCUAAGAUUCAGAGAUUCCUUUCAAUCACUGGUAAUUUUAUGAGUUCCAGGUGGACUAAAUAAGCUUUUGCCGAAGCAGUGCGCGGCACAAAUUCCCCCUUACUUAUUCUGUGCAAGUAGCUGUUUUGGGUUAUUUUGUAAUAUAUUUUGUCUUUUCAAUGCACAAACCGCCUAAGGAAGUAUUUGAAUCCAGGUCAAACUUAGUAAAAGCAAAGUUUCUCAUACUGACAUUUCAGUUGUAUUCAGCUUGUACACUUCUUUCUUACUGCAAAGGUACAGUUUCUUAUUUUUCAAUUUUUGAAUCUCUUCCUUUUUAUGUUGAACUUUUCUGGCACAGUAAUUUUACAAUUUAAUUUGCUGUUUUUUGUUAGAUCUAGCAUUUUUGUUGGAAUGG